GCAUAAAAAUGUCCCCUUGCACAAAGCGAGGUCCAUACAGAGAUAAUUUGUCGAGAUCGGUGUGGAAGAACGGGAUUGGCCUGCACAGAGCCAUGACCUCCCCCCCAUCGAUCAACACCUUUGGGAUGAAUUGAAACACCGACUGCGAGACAGGCCUAAUCAUUCAACAUCAAUGCCCAAUCUCACUUGUAGCUGAAUGGAAAGAAGUCCCCUCAGCAAUGUUCCAACAUCUAGUGAAAAGCCUUCCCAGAGGAGUGGAGGCUGUUAUGGCAGAAAAGGGACACCAACUCCAUAUUAAUGCCCAUGAUUUUGUAAUGACAGGUUCAGCGAGCAGGUGUCCACAUACUUUUGUUAAUGUAGUGUAGCUGAUAUUAGCAUGAAAAAAGUAUUGACGUUUCAAAAAUGUAGCAAUGAUAACUUUUCAAUUUUCACCAACUGCAACUGGAAAAGCAGGUCUCAGCAAAACAAUGACUCGUACAACAUAUUAAUGACUGAGAUGGAGUCGUACUAUGGAAUAUUGUGGAAUGGCAAGGCAACUGGAUAUUGUUGUCAGGGCUGGUGCUUGUAGGGGUGGCUGAAGUUGACUCCUUAUCUCAGUGUGUCUUAGUCUUUCAUCUAUUCUUUAUGGAAAGAAACACCAUGACAACUCCACUACUGAUGUUUGGUAUGUGACCAUCACUAUCAAACUCUGCACAUUUGCUCGAAUUUGUGUGUAUAAUCCCUGACUUCCUGUCCUUAACAUUUGUUUGUUUCAUUUGUGCAGUUCUUCUGACUCUACCCAGCUACAGUGCACAUGGGCAGGUCAAUCCUUUUGGAAUUCCAGUCUCCGUCCAUGCUGGGAAGUUCUACAGCACAGUGUUACAAUGAAGACCACCAACUUUGCUGUGGAAAUAUUGUCAAAGGAAGGAAGGUCCUGACCAAAAUGUCCAGUCACCACCGAUGCUGUGGAGACCACCAGUUUGACCAGCAAAGCCACUGCUGCUGCUCUGAACCACUGUCCCCAGAGCCUCUCAAUGCAAGCUGCUGUGAAUCAUCAAGUUCUAAUCUGACGGAAAUUGAUGCGAGUUCUCCAAACUGGUAAAGGUUGCCUUUGACCUUCAACCACAUACUGAACCUCAUAAUGUCUCCCUUUUCUUUAUUCAAUGUUCAAUUUGAAUAGUUCAUUAACAGUCAGGGUUUAAAAUAAUAUAUUUGAUGUCCAAUGGCUAAAAGCCACAAUGGGUGUCGCAUUCAUUUUAAAUGAUGCAUGUCAUUAAUUCAAAACACCCACUACAUGUCAGCUUUUCUGAAUGUUCUUUAAUAGAUUUCAUAUUAACUGAACAUUGCUUUAUUUUUCUUGUGGGUUUGGGCUUUUGGCCGAGGCCCGAGGCUUUGAAUAGUCUGCCAACAAGCAGUCACAGUGUGAUACUCUCCAGUGUGCUCUUUAACUGUAAACCUUUGUCUGUAGAACGAUAGUGGUGGAAUAAUUAAAAACAUGAUGAUGGAC